rnacentral:pre_miRNA from 1 species
CCUAAUUUCCGUGUCCAACUUUUGACCGUCCAUCUUAUUUGAAAAAAUUAUAAAAAAAUUAAAAAGACAAGUUAUGCAUAAAAUAUUAAUCAUGUUUUAUCAUCUAACAACAAUAAAAAUUCAAAUUAUAAAAAAAUUUCAUAUAAGACGGACAGUCAAAGUUGGACACGGAAAUAUAGAGUUUGCCUUUUU